rnacentral:rRNA from 1 species
AAGAUUUUAAUGAUCGAACAGAUCAAAAUUUUAAACUUUUGCAUCUAAAUUUUAUCUUAAUCCAACAUCGAGGUCGCAAUCUCUUUUUCUUAUUUGUACUAAAAAAAAAAAUUACG